rnacentral:rRNA from 1 species
UACGAUACGAGUUUGAUCCUGGCUCAGGAUGAACGCUAGCGGCAGGCCUAACACAUGCAAGUCGAGGGGUAUAGUUCUUCGGAACUAGAGACCGGCGCACGGGUGCGUAACGCGUAUGCAAUCUACCUUUUACAGGGGAAUAGCCCAGAGAAAUUUGGAUUAAUGCCCCAUAGUGUUAUAGAAUCGCAUGGUUUUAUAACUAAAGUUCCAACGGUAAAGAUGAGCAUGCGUCCCAUUAGUUAGUUGGUAAGGUAACGGCUUACCAAGACAAUGAUGGGUAGGGGUCCUGAGAGGGAGAUCCCCCACACUGGUACUGAGACACGGACCAGACUCCUACGGGAGGCAGCAGUGAGGAAUAUUGGACAAUGGGCGCAAGCCUGAUCCAGCCAUGCCGCGUGCAGGAAGACGGUCCUAUGGAUUGUAAACUGCUUUUGUACAGGAAGAAACACUCCCUCGUGAGGGAGCUUGACGGUACUGUAAGAAUAAGGAUCGGCUAACUCCGUG